GUCAUUAGUCCAUUACAUCCGACCGAUAUUUACCAUGGAACUAACUAUAUGACCGAGCUAGCUAGACCUCCUCGGUUGAUUUACUACACAACAUUUUGGAUAUAUAGUAAGGUACGGUGGAUUUAACCCGGGUUCCUGCACGCUGCUGCGGUGCUUCUGGUUCUGGGGACGUGACCCCGGCGAAUGGUUCACAUAUUUUUUCUUAAAAAGGAGACGCUGCCAGAUCCAACGUCACUGUAAGCAGAGGGAUAUUUUUAAGGUCACAAGAAAGUGUUUACAUCUCCGUCUAAUUCCUCAUAUUUCGGACCUUCUGAGUGUUUGAGUUGGGCAGUUUUGGGGGAACCUGCGCUUCGCUAACGUGAGGCGUGUGGACCUGGACAAGGGCACUGAAGAGGGGAAUGACAUCUGUCAAUUUAAUGUCUCCAAGUCCAGUCCGAUUGAUGCGUUGCCAGUAGUAGUAUCCAACAAGAAGAACCACACACUCCUCUCCUAGGUGGUCUGGCUGCUUUGUGUGGUGGUGAUGUUCCAUUGCUAAUUGAGGUAGCCUCUGCCCCUGUCCUGAAUGGCUGUGUGCAGAGGGGGUACGGCCUUCUGGGUGGGUUGUGUCAGGAGCAAUGGCCCCCGACAGCCCAUCACGAGUCGGCAGUGCAGCCUCCCACAGGCGGUGGUGUGGCAGUGGGCUGGACAGACCCGACCCCUGAACAGCGCAUCGCGGGCCCUCUCUCCCCCACACGCUCUGAGGUACCAGGCCGUCAAGCAGCCCCUCCUUCCCAAACCACUCCUCCCGGCCGGCCAACUCCACAAGACGGGCCGCCUGGAGGAGGAGUGGGAGGACUCGCUCAGCGUGUGUGUCCUGGUGCGAGCGCAGGAGCCCGGCGGCCAUCCCACCCUGGUGGAGAUCCCCCUGUUCGGACGGGCGAGGCUAGGGGAGCUGCUCACGGCAGGCGCCCCGAGGCCCAAGGAGCCCCCCUUCACACUGACCACGGUGGACGGCCGCCGUGAGGAUGACAUUAGCCUGGUGGUGAGGGCGGGGCACGCGGCCGGCGGCAAGGACACGGCCAGCGUCCCCGAGCGCGAGCACAGCACCUUCCGGAACCUCUUCCGGGUGGAGAAGUGUCCGGCGCCCUUCGUGCACGGGUCCGUGUUCUACUGCUUCCACUGCCCGGGGACGGACCCGGCGGCGGUGGCCAGCUCAGCCACGGCCGCCGGGCUGAAACGCAGGCAGGUGGUCGGACUGGAGGGGCGGCCCCUGGAGCACCCUCUGUCGCUGUCCAGCUUCCUGGGUGACCAGGUGGAGGGAGCCCAGGGGCAGGCGGAUGGGGAGCGGGGCGACGAGGAGGAGGAGAAGAUGGCCUUGAUGUAUGAAAGACUUAGAAUAGAGCUUCCAAACUUCUUCCGGAAGAGCCAUGACUACACCAUGUAUUCCAGCGACCUAGAGUUUGUUAACGGACUUACCAACACCCACACCAGAGGGCGCCUGCUGUACCAGCUGGUCCUCUCCCUGUGGCGGGUGCUCUGCCUGUUCUACUACGCAGAGGCCCGGCUGGAGGUGCUGAAGCUGACCAAGCACAUGGAGGACGGCACCAUCAAGGCGCGCUGGAGGGUCCACGGACUGCCCUUCCACAGCGUGUGUCUUCGCUUCUACCGGAAGGACAUGUCCCAGCUAUACAGGUCAUAUGAUGCAUUCUCCACUUUCUACAUUGGGCACGACGGACUCAUCCGCUGUCACAAGGUUGAAAAGGUGAUGGAGGCGCGGCCCCCGCUGCUGCCCAAGCUCGGCACUCUGCUUGCGGGGGCCCUGGUGGCCCUGGGAGUGCAGGAGCACCGGCCCGCCCUCAACCUGCUGCCGCUCUUCUUCCUGUCCCGACGGCAGGGGCGGGACUGACCCCCGGAGGAGGGGAGGAGCGGGCGGCCAUGGUGAGACUGCUGCGGGGUCAGGGGUCGUUAAGAGGCCAUGGUGGAGAGCCAGGUCCCUGAUGUAGACCCCCUGGGGGAGAGGACCUCAUCCAGGUCCCUGAUGUAGACCCCCUGGGGGAGAGGACUUCCUCCAGGACCCUCGCUCAGCAGCAUGGACGUGGCACUACGUGAUUCCAGAGAUUACCGCUUUAUUUGCUGCAUACUCAAUGAGGUUUUUGGUGAAACAUGCUUGAUAGUAAUGGAGAAAUGACCAUUAUUUCACUGUAUUUAAACUUUCACACAAACCAGUUCUCCUGGUAGUUAGUGCUUCAAAGCAUGCCAUAUUUCCAUUGCAAUACGUCAGUAAAUAUGCUGUUUGUUAGGUCUAUAGCAAGUCCAUCCAUGUUCUAAGAGUAAUGUUAGCCAAGGCAUUGAGACCUAUGUUAAUCCUGGUUGUGUGAAUAAAAUAAGUGUUUAACUAUGA